CCUAUCUCGACGCCAAAAAAUCUUUCAAAAGCUUCAACUUUAUGGAGCCAUUACAUACCUCCGGAGCAUAUCCUUUCCCUUCCCCAUCCCCUUCUCCUGUGUCUAAAAAUAAAACAAAUUACAAACACUUUCAAGCCUCUCUCUCUUUCUCUCAAUGUUCGCGGCAGUCGGCGGUCUCUCACUCAUCUCGCGCCUCUAUGGCAUCAAUGGCUCCUCCAACCCCUCCGUCGCGACCCCGGUGACUCCAUCUGGGUGCCGCCUCUCGUCUCGCAGGAGGGUCUCCUCGGCAAGAUCCUCGUGCACGGCGAGGCUCGUGUCCUCCGGCAGCAGCGUCGAUCAGGAGGAAGCCUCUGGCGAGGGCUCAAAGACCGCCGAUGAAGACGCCCGCCAAGCUCGGAGGUCUGCUGAUUGGAGGGCGGCAAGGGCAUACAAAGACAGUGGCAUCAUCUUUGAUGGACGGAUUGAAGGAUUCAACAAUGGGGGCUUGCUGAUUCGAUUUUAUUCACUUCUCGGCUUUCUUCCAUACCCACUGCUGAGUCCAUCACAUUCAUGUAAAGAUCCCCCGAGAAACAUACAGGAUAUAGCAAAGGAUCUAGUAGGUUCAUCUGUUGCUGUGAAGGUGAUUGAAGCAAGUGAGGAGGAAAAGAAGCUUAUAUUCUCUGAAAAGGAUGCCAUUUGGUCAAAGUAUUCAAGCCAAGUCAAGGUUGGGGAUGUUUUUGAUGCAAGAGUGGGUUCAGUGGAAGACUAUGGUGCAUUUGUUCAUCUACGUUUCCAUGAUGGUUUCUAUUAUCUCACUGGACUUGUACAUGUCUCUGAGGUUUCUUGGGAUUUGGUUCAAGAUGUGAGAGAUUUUCUUAAUGAAGGAGACCAAGUGAGGGUCAAAAUUAUUCAUAUAGAUAGAGAAAAGUCUAGGAUUGCCCUCUCAAUCAAGCAGUUAGAAGAUGAUCCUCUUUUGGAGACACUGGACAAAGUAAUUCCUCAGGAAGGCCAGGAAGUGUCUGAUGCUCUCAACAUGUCUUCGAACAUGAACAUUGAACCUCUUCCAGGACUUGAGAGCAUAUGUAAAGAACUAUUACAAGAGGAUGGCAUAACUGAUGUAAGACUUGGGCGGCAAGGACUGGAGAAGCGUGUGGUCUCACAGGACUUGGAACUUUGGCUCUCAAAUAUGCCAGCCAAGGACAAACAGUUCACCCUACUUGCUCGAGCUGGAAGACAGGUCCGGGAGGUGUAUUUGACCACCACACUUGACCAGGAUGGCAUAAAGAAAGCUGUGCAGAGAGUAUUAGGACGUGUUCCUUGAGCUUACAUGAUGUGGGAUUUGAACACAGCUAAGAUAAUUGUGGACAAGAGAAGGGCCUGCCAUGAAAUGAAAAGGCUAGUUGGGGGUGGCCAGACCAGGUUAUGUACUUUAAACCCAUUCAACUGGGGAGGUUCUUUGAGACAGCCUAGACAAAAUGUGAAGAAUGCAGGUCUAAUCUAGGCAUUCAUUUUCCAGGCAUAAAUUACAAGCUAGAGAGCCAAAUUGAACAUAAUCCCAUCUAUGAGGAUGUUCAUACAUGAGACUUGUUCAGGCUCUGCACUCGUGCGGUCCAUGGUGCAAGCGACACGCAAAGUUGUUUCCCCCUUAUGUUUAAAGCAAAUGAGGUUAUUCAUCACCUUUGUUAAGUUCAUGUCUCCUUUAACUUACUCUAUUCAUGUUAUAAUUAAGAGAAAUAUAUCCUGAAGAUAAAAGCAUGGCCAUUUUAG